ACCCCUAAAAAAAUAGAUGCUGCAGAUUUCAAGUGUCAAAAAGGUUCCUGGUUAUGAUCGUUAUUUUUUAGGUCUGUAUACGUAGGGCAUUGGGCACGUGUCCGCCUCUCUCAAGACAAGGGGAAAUGACAUGAUCGAGCUUAGGAUUUGAGGGUAGCAAAGACUGAUCAUAAAGGAGGUUAGAGGGGCUAGGAACCCUAGAGAAAGAGAGAAGAGGAAGGAUGGAAAGACUACAGAGGGGAAUUAAAGGAUCGAAGAUCACUUUAAGUUAAAAACUGGAAAUGGAUGACAGAGGAGCUAAAAAGAUUGAUAAAUUAAAAAAUAAGUAUUGGUGUAGGAUAGGAUAGACCCACAGGGCGAAGGAAUGGAGAACAUGGUACUCUAUAGCAAUGUCAUGGUGCUACCUACACAUGUAUUAAUAGUUGUAUAAUCACACUCUGUCCUGCCUGGGGGUUGGGAUGGCAUGUUCCUCCCUUCUCCCUUGUUGUUUACCUGCAACAAUAAACUAUCAAUCAAUCAAUCAAUCAUACUACGCGUCCCCCAUCACUGUGUAUGUGCUGAGUGAUGCGCCGCAGCGGCCGUGGGUGUGCCCAGUUCAUCCAAAACCGACGACUUCACACACGUCACGGCGCGGCUUAUGUUCGGAGGCGAAUUUGAUCAUAUGUAGAUGUUUACCUCGUGACGUACCCUACACCAUCCGAAUCAGAAAAGCAUGCAGAUUUAAGAUCUGUGCUUGUAAAAGUGAUGCAACGAAAACCAGCUGAGUACUAAGGAGCUGAAGGAAAAUUUGUGCAAAAAAAUGUGUAUUCCCUACUUCAUUUAACUCUGAUUUUUGUAUAUGUAUCUUUACAUGUUUGUUGCAAUUUUAUGCUGGUGUGAUGCAGAAUUUUCUCAGGAAAAUGAAGGUGAUCUCAGUUUUUCUUAAAAAUGAAUGUUGGGUUCAGGAAACAGGGUGGGAGUGAGGUGUGUGAGGUCGUCGGGUUUAGAUGAACUGGGCACACCCACGGCCGCUGGCCUGUCACUUGCAGGGCCUUGCCGAGCAGUCUAGUAUGUAAGUCUGUGAUCUAUAGUGAUAGAUCCAUAGUAGAAAUACAAGCACGGAUGUGAGAGAUGGAGACAAAAUGUGCCAAACAUACAGAACAAUGGGAAGGCUGCAGAGAUAGACAAAAUCAAUUAAUGGAGAAUUCCUUCAGUAUGGAGACUGCCAAUGAGGUUACAUAUUAUGUGCUAAAGUAUUAGUGGAUGGAGAGUACCCCAUAACUGGAAAAGCAGUAGGAUAACACUGAUACAGGAAAAAGAAAAAAGGCAAGAAUAAUACAGCAAACUAUUGAGACAUAGCACUCAUGAAUAUUAUGGCCAAGUUUUUUGAAAUGCUAAUCAAUAUCAAAAGCCAAGGACAGAAACAUACAAGAUAUUGGGAGGAACAAAGUGGACCUUGGAAAAGUGGAGGACUGGAAAACUUACUGAGAGAGAUUAUUGCAAGGAAUUGAGAGCAGGGGAGGGCGUUUUGUAGAAGAUUUAUAUUUAGAAAAGGCAUAUGCCACAGUAAAAAGUUUGUAAGAUUACUACACUACAUGAGGUUGAUGCAAAUAUAGUGAAAGAGAAAAGUAGUUUACAACUUUACAUGAAGGAAAUAAAUAUUGCAGGCAUAUUAAAUCAUUGCUGCAACUUUGUAAGUCAAUCAAAAUCCCACUCGUGAAUGCCAGUGUUGGAUCAGCUGGCCACUCACAAACCUCACUGUUGUCCUGACGAGGCCUUCAGUCCAGGCAGGAACUGUCACGUCGGGAGUGAUCUUUGCAGAAAAUGGCUUCAAACAAGACUAGGGCAGAGACCUACUGUCAUGCAGGUAACUACCACUUCUUGUAGCACAUGAGAAACUGAUCCACUUGGGAUCCUGCAUUGACAUACCUGACUGGACAAGCACAAUAUACAGUUUCAGGGUAAUGCUUGGUCCACCCCUCAACUUCCCAUAUCAUUGGCAUACACAACACAUAAUGUAGAGGUGACUCCCACCAUCCCUGAAAUCUUCUCAUGAGCUACCUAGCAAAUCAACAUGUGUUCUUGUAGAAAAUUCAUUUAAGAGAGCCCCCAAAAGUUCUAAAAAAUUAAAUUUAAUAGAAAACAUUUAUUUUUGCUCCACUGAAUGACUCUAUCCUUUAACACUCUUAUUAAGUAGUACACACAGCACUGGGUACCCAUAGCAGCUCAAAGAAAGAAAAACCUUGUCACUAGAUGUGUGUAUACCAAGAAACACAAAAAUCAAAGAAAAUUAAGAGUACACCAACACAUACAUAAAAUACUGCACAGCUAUGACAUUUGUAUUAAACUACAUCAAGGGUUUUGAAAUACUAUAAAACAUUGGUAGAAGCUUUGUUAUUACUUAACUGGCAUAGUUUGUUCCCAAGUUACUGGAGUGUUUCAUGCUAUCACAACUAUGAGAUGAGGUAUUUCAAUGGUAUCAAUUCUACUGACAGCAUAUAUACAAUUUUACACUAAAAAUACAAAUAGACUAAGAUUUUUCAAAGUGGUGGAUGAAUCUUCUAUUAAAUGAAUCUCUUGAUGAAUACAGUUGUUAAUAAUUAUUAGCUAUGCAUUGUACUGGUGGGUACUGACCAUUGUCAGUUAACAUACUGUAACCCAAUUUUUAAAAUUUCUGCACCCACAAGGUAUACAAAAUAUCACAGCCAAUGCCAACACUACUUGUGGGUUUGGACUUAGUAUCUUUUUGCCUUUAUCCUCCUUGUCAAUAAGACUGCAUCUGCUGCUAGCAGAAUGUAUGAUAUUAAGAGUGUGUAUCCACAUCUCAACUUAAUGAUAUAUACUUGUAUUGAAUUACCCAUGAAAGUGUCAGUUUACAUAUAUGUUACAUUUUUUUUU